rnacentral:lncRNA from 1 species
UUAGAAUCCUCAACUUUUAGUUAAAGAAUUCCAGUAAGUGUAAAAAUUCAUCUCUUUGAAAAAGAUUUGUGUCCACUAAGUAAUAUUUUCAUCAUUACAUUUCACCAUUAUAAUCAAAUUUACAUCGGUAUUGGGAUGGUGGUUAAGGACUCCGUCUGGAGAUUUGUGGAUAUGAAUAUGACAGAUCAAGUCUAUUUUAUGUCAUGUUAUCAAUAGACCUCUUGCAGAAUGCGGAUAGCAGGAUUCCUGUACUCCGACAAUGUCUCUAUCCGCCAUCAUAGGAAAACCACACCCUUUUUUAACAGGGUCUCUUAUGGGAUUAUUUUUUCUAGUUGGAUAAUUUCUAAAGUGGUUAGUGAUAGAAAAUAGUUAGACACAAGAUGUCGUCUGCUGUUGUUUAUAGUGUUAACAACAAAAACAAUAUUGAAUGUGUAAUGUCUCAAGCAAUUAGUUGAAAAUGGUACUAUGGAUUAUGCUUAGAUUUCAAGUGUUUGAAAUUGGCCAACACAAAUGGUCUCACCUUCGCAAGCCUUAAGUGAGAGCCCACACAAUCCAAUUAAUUAUUAUUAUUUAUGUGGUUGGAAAUGUAGUUUUACUCUAAGAUUCCUUAGUCUUCAUCAAUACAACUUAGGUUGUGAGAGCAAUUGCCAUGAACUCUCUAACCCAGCCAUUUGUAACAGCUUGCUGCGAUUCAGAAGAAAUGCCCUUGUAUGCACCAAGGGCCUCAAAGUGGUUUUGAUAACUUUUGAUUUCGACCAAAUAGAUGAAUAUGUCUGGGAGAGAAAUUUUUGGAACAAUUGGGUAAGAAUCUAAUCCGUGUUUCCAUAUAGAUUUAGGAGUUGAAUAGGGACACUCACUAUUUAACAAUUUUAACUUAUCUAACUAACGAGUUUUCGCAUCACUUACGAGUCCAUUUGCAUAGUCAGAACACGACAUAGUUUUACACUAACACAAAAAACAAAAUGAUGAAUAAUGUGAAACGAAACACUUACUUUUUCAGCGAAACUUUUAAAUUUAUUUAUAUUUCGCACAAUAACAAAAUACAGUCAUAGCAGACCAAAUAGGCCAUCGAAUUCUGCGUUGCGCGAAAAAAUAAAUACGAAGAAAGAUGUCGAACAGCCCUAUAGAACCAAUUUUAACAUAGUACAAUUUAAUAACGGCUAAGAAUAAUAGAUCCGUUCGUAGAUACGAUGGAAUCAAAACUAAUAUUACGUAAAAAACACAACCAAAUUUAUAAUAAAUUAAUUUAGUAAAGUAUUACUUAAUUACGCGUUUCUCAGACAAGAUAUUAAAAUAGUAUACUUAACUAAACUUUACCUUUUAAAAUAAAAUGUUUUUGAAUAGUAAGGUAAAAAGUAACAUUGCUUUACAAAUUCGUAACUAAAAUACAUAAUCUAAAAAUAUCUAACCGUCACUAGAUUUGAAGCAUAAGAAUCAUGCAUAGCAACCCAGUACUGUACCACUAAGUUAUCCCGUGCUACACUUAAAUGAAAUUUUACUUUAGUAGAAUAGACCACGAACGGAUGCUGAGUUGUCAGUUUUCAAAAUGGUCGAAAAUCUCGAUUGUGGUAAGGCAGCCUAAAAUUAACACAGGCUUCUUAUGGAGACCCUUUUUAAAUUAAAUCAUUAAGUGAAAAAUAACUAGUCUUUUCUAUUUAUUUUUUUUUUCUGAUAAGUCAUCAUUCUAGCUAGUACCUUGUUUUUUUUUAUUCCUGAAAAACUAUGGUAUAUAUUUUAAUUUAAUUUUUUUCCGGGGUUGUUUACAUAAGCUCGUCGGCUAGUCUCAGUUUCAAAUUAGUCGGCCGCCAUUCUCAUCUGUCAAGAUGACUAUUUGCUUUAUUCACGGUUGCAAGAAUAAUAGUAGGAAAUUAAGUGCUAGACAUGUUAAGUUCUUCUGUUUGCCAUCAACUAGUGUUAGAUUUUCAAAAGAACUGAAUGAUCAAAAGUUAAAAAGAAGACUUGCUUGGCUUAAUAAUGCAAAGCAAAAGUGUUCACAUGACUUAAUUAAACCAAGGAUCUGUUCUUACCAUUUUCAUGGAGGUAAACCAUGUGAUGAUGUAUACUGUAAUAGACCGCAGCAACUCUUCCCAGCAACAGCAGCCCCACCCAGCAAAAAGUUCGUUACGAAUACAACCUUCCCUGCAGAUAAUAGUUUAUGAUAAAAGU